GACGAACGCUGACGGCGUGCCUAAUACAUGCAAGUUGAGCGAUGAAGAUUGGUGCUUGCACCAAUUUGAAGAGCAGCGAACGGGUGAGUAACGCGUGGGGAAUCUGCCUUUGAGCGGGGGACAACAUUUGGAAACGAAUGCUAAUACCGCAUAACAACUUUAAACAUAAGUUUUAAGUUUGAAAGAUGCAAUUGCAUCACUCAAAGAUGAUCCCGCGUUGUAUUAGCUAGUUGGUGAGGUAAAGGCUCACCAAGGCGAUGAUACAUAGCCGACCUGAGAGGGUGAUCGGCCACAUUGGGACUGAGACACGGCCCAAACUCCUACGGGAGGCAGCAGUAGGGAAUCUUCGGCAAUGGACGAAAGUCUGGCCGAGCAACGCCGCGUGAGUGAAGAAGGUUUUCGGAUCGUAAAACUCUGUUGGUAGAGAAGAACGUUGGUGAGAGUGGAAAGCUCAUCAAGUGACGGUAACUACCCAGAAAGGGACGGCUAACUACGUG
rnacentral:rRNA from 1 species